CGGCGGGAAGCGGUACAGGCGCUGCGGGAAGCCGCGCACCAGCUGCUUCAGCACCAUGCCGCUCAGGUCGGCCGUGCUCUCCUGCGAUGGGUUGAAGAUGCGGACGAACUUCUCCCGGCAGCUCACAGCCACGAUCUUCAGGCCUGUCGGGCUGGGAAGAGAGGAGACGCUGUGAGGAGAUGCGGCCGGUCCACCCGCACAGCUGCGCGCCCCGCCCGGAAACCAGCUCCAGCCCGGCGCCGGAGGCUUGGGUCACUCGCCCCUUACCUCUGCAGGAGUUCCGGGCUCCAGUGGUCGGGGUCUGUGCAGGGCUGGGGCGACAGGACCGGCUCGCCGUGCCUGGCUCAGGACCCUACCCCCAGCACUCACCUGAGGCCCGACCUCCAAGCAGGCCUGGGAGGGAAGGGCUGUAUACCGUUGCCAUGGAUACCAGCACCCAGAAGGGGUGGGGCUGUUUGUUACCAGGAGCCUCCAGGGAGACCCCAGACCACGCCCCUGG
rnacentral:lncRNA from 1 species